rnacentral:rRNA from 1 species
UACGUAGGGUGCAAGCGUUAAUCGGAAUUACUGGGCGUAAAGCGUGCGCAGGCGGUUAUGUAAGACAGAUGGGAAAUCCCCGGGCUCAACCUGGGAACUGCAUUUGUGACUGCAUAGCUAGAGUACGGUAGAGGGGGAUGGAAUUCCGCGUGUAGCAGUGAAAUGCGUAGAGAUGUGGAGGAAUACCGAUGGCGAAGGCAGCCCCCUGGGUCAAUACUGACGCUCAUGCACGAAAGCGUGGGGAGCAAACAGG